rnacentral:siRNA from 1 species
GACGUUUGAUGAUAUGGUUGG